UAUCAGACAUAUGCAGAACGAACCAGUUUUUAAUUGCAUCGAAAAAUGCUUUUGCCCUAAUGUGUUUUGGUUAAUGCCUUCCACUGCAUUUGUAAAGAGGAUGUAAACAUAAGCCCCGAUAAUGGAGCAGUCUUUAAAAUAGGUGUCUAUUCUUGGCUUGAACAACUUCAGAAGCAUGCUUCUUUAUUAAAAAAAGACUGCAUGCUUUAUGCUUUGAAGAAAACGACUGCAGAUUUACCGAACUCAUGACAAUCAGAAGCCAGGCAUUUGCACAGAGUCAAGACUGAUUGGGAAGAUACGCAUUCCAAGAAAUUACCUUAAGAUUUGUUUCACCAUUAAAGCGACAUUCCCAGCUGUGCUCCAAUCAACUGGAUAAAAGCAGAGAACCCAUCAGAAGUUGUUCCUGGUUGACUAUCACCUUUCAAAAGAAAUGUGCUUUCCUAAGGACAUUUUGAGGAAAUGCUUGAGCAAUCACAAAGAUGCCACUCCUACUACGUGAAGCUUCAUGGACAUGAGCAAAAGACAUACGCCUGUAGCAACCUUCCCUGGGUGGAUGGACAAAGUCCUGGGCCCCAGAAACACCAUCCCUGACCAACACUGAGGAAAGUGCUGGGCCUUUAUGGGUGUGUCAAAUUGUGCCUGUUUUGUUAAAGUGAUCCUCUCUCCCUCACCUGCAACAUCAGAUCCUUCUCUGAGUUCUGAUGCUUUGUAUCAUCCUCCUCAGCCCUGCUUGGGAAGCACAGCAUUUCUCCCCAGGACAUCAAUAGAGACUUCUGGUUUCUUCCUUAUCUAAUCCACAACCCAUCCAGUUUCUAUAGUGCCAGUGAGUUAUUUCUACAGAUGCAGUAUGGUGAUCCAGUUCCAGAAGGGCUCCCCACCGACCACAGGGUGGAUACCAGAAGCCAGUGUCUGCCAUUUGAGAAGCAUUGCAAUCUGGACCUAAGUCCUGAUCCUCAACCCCCUCCCCAACACCAUGUGCCCAAGCCACGCGAGACUCAUGAUUUCCUGAACUUGCAACAUUUUCCUUCUAUGCUUCCAAGCCUUCACACGAUCACUGCUCUGACUGAUGUCUUGGCUGCAAUUUCAUGAGGCACCCUGAGCCAGAGCCACCUGGCUAAGCUGCUUCCGGAUUCCUGGCCCACAGCACUGGGAUAAAUGAAUGUCAUGAUUUUUAAGCUGCUACUUGGGAGAAAUUUGUUAUAGGACAAUGGAUUCCCCUCUCUGGCCUGCUAUUGUUAUAGAUCAGUAGAAGGACACAAGCAACCUACCACUGUGUUGCUCAGAGUAGGCAAGACUGUGAGCCCAACAGCCACGACAGAACGGCCCUCACCACACUUGACACCGUGAGCUUUGUGUCAGCAUCCUUCAAACCGAUGUCUACGUGUGUUCAACAAAUGGGUACUUAGAGGUGUUGUUGUGCUUUCAUCAAGUUUAAGAACGGACAGCGUGCAAAUGAGAAGAGACAAGACCUGCAACAAACGUGAGUCAUGAGGUGGAGAAAGCAGAAGCAGCUGAGGGCCUUGCUGAGUGAAAUAUAUCCGUAGCGUCUGAGCUGGCCUUUCUGCUUCUCUCUGUCAGGAAGGGACAGCAGCGUGGAGAGGAGAAUGGAUAUUUUGAGAAGAGGCUGGCUAUUUUGCAAAUCUUCACAAAAAACAGAAUGUGUUCCUGUUCAUGUGGUUUGUGUGGUAGCCAUCGACCAAGAGGUCAGGGCCCUGUGAAGUCUGAUGGGAGCCAUGGCUUGGGUUUCCUGCCAGUCGCUUUGCUAUUGCUCCGCGUCAGUUGUAACUGUCUGUGAAUCCAUUUCAGGAGGAAUGAUGGAAGAAGGCAGCAAAGUCCCCUGGUAUAUAGCCUCUUCUCUGUGACCAGCAAGCCCACAGCCUUGCAUGGCAAUGUGGCCCCAGGGGCACUGUGUCCCCCGUCUCCUUUUUCUGCUCCCUUUCUCCUGCCACCAUGACCAGGGUCCUCCAGGUCUGAGCAGUUAUUGGGGACCUGCUCAGUAUGUUCUUGGUGUUCACACCUUUCCUGAACUAUGAAGACUUGUGUACAGGAGGGAUACUUUACACAUCCUCCCUUACACCUUAUUCAAUGUGGUUUCUCACCUGGGAGCAUUACUACUGUAAGCCUAUCCUCUGUGAACAGAAAAGAUUCUCGGGCACCUGGGUGGCUCAAUCAGGUAAGCAUCUGCCUUCG